rnacentral:snoRNA from 1 species
UCCCACUGAUGAAUCAUUUAGUAAUCCGAAAUGUUAACAAUUGGUGCUCCCUUUUUGCAAAACGGUUGAGGAACCAUAGUCAUUUGCUAUGUGGAUACUAGGCAUUCUGAGGGAU